rnacentral:rRNA from 1 species
GACGAACGCUGGCGGCGUGCUUAACACAUGCAAGUCGAACGGAAAGGCCCUGCUUUUGUGGGGUGCUCGUGUGGCGAACGGGUGAGUAACACGUGAGUAACCUGCCCUUGACUUUGGGAUAACUUCAGGAAACUGGGGCUAAUACCGGAUAGGAGCUCCUGCUGCAUGGGGGGGGUUGGAAAGUUUCGGCGGUUGGGGAUGGUCUCGCGGCUUAUCCGCUUGUUGGUGGGGUAGUGGCUUACCAAGGCUUUGACGGGUGGCCGGCCUGGGAGGGUGACCGGCCACAUUGGGACUGGGAUGCGGCCCAGACUCCUUCGGGAGGCAACAGUGGGGAAUUUUGCACGAUGGGCGGAAGCCUGAUGCAGCAACGCCGCGUGCGGGAUGACGGCCUUCGGGUUGUAAACCGCUUUCGCCUGUGACGAAGCGUGAGUGACGGUAAUGGGUAAAGAAGCACCGGCAACCUACUU